AACAAACGCUGGCGGCGUGCCUAACACAUGCAAGUCGAACGAGAAAUCCCGAGCUUGCUUGGGAGAGUAAAGUGGCGCACGGGUGAGUAACGCGUGGGUAACCUACCUUUGAAUCUGGAAUAACCAGCCGAAAGGCUGACUAAUACCGGAUAUGGUUUUUAGGACUUAGGUUCUCUAAAUUAAAGGUGACCUCUUCAUGAAAGUUGCCGUUCAUAGAUGGGCCCGCGUACCAUUAGCUAGUUGGUGGGGUAAUGGCCUACCAAGGCGACGAUGGUUAGCUGGUCUGAGAGGAUGAUCAGCCACACUGGAACUGGAACACGGUCCAGACUCCUACGGGAGGCAGCAGUGAGGAAUUUUGCGCAAUGGGGGAAACCCUGACGCAGCAACGCCGCGUGAGCGAAGAAGGCCCUCGGGUCGUAAAGCUCUGUCAAGUGGGAAAAAAAUCUUUUGAUCAAUAGUCAAAAGACUUGAUGGUACCAC
rnacentral:rRNA from 1 species